UUAAACGGCCGCGGUAUUUUAACCGUGCAAAGGUAGCGUAAUCACUCGUUCCUUAAAUAGGAACCCGUAUGAAUGGUUAGACGAGGGCUUGACUGUCUCCCUUUUCCAGUCAGUGAAAUUGAUCUAUCCGUGCAGAAGCGGAUAUAAGAAUACAAGACGAGAAGACCCUUUGGAGCUUAAGGUCCAAGACUCAAUCAUUUUAACACAGAUUAACCAUGAAAACUGAGACUUUACCUUCGGUUGGGGUGACCACGGAAAAAACUAACAUCCGACUGGAUUGAAUAAUAUUCAAAACCAAGAAGGACACUUCUAAGUAACAGAACAUCUGACCAAAUAUGACCCGGCCAUAAGCCGACCAACGAACCAAGUUACCCAAGGGAUAACAGCGCAAUCCUCUUCUAGAGCCCCUAUCGACAAGAGGGUUUACGACCUCGAUGUUGGAUCAGG
rnacentral:rRNA from 1 species